rnacentral:tRNA from 1 species
UAAGGAGUAGUAUAAAGGAAGUACUAAGGGUUUUGAUCCCUUGGGUAUAGGUUCAAUUCCUAUCUCUUUAA